rnacentral:pre_miRNA from 1 species
GCUAAGGGCCUGAUCAAAAGUCUAUUGAAGUCAAUGGGAAUCUUUCCAUUGACUUCAGUGAGUUUUGGAUCAGGCCCUAAAUGU